GAGGUGGUUUAAUAAUCAUCACUUCUUGUCACAUAAAGGCUGUGACUCCAGAGUUUGUUGCAGAAGAAGUGUUGUGAAAGAAAUAAUUAAUAUGAUGGGUUUCGAAUGCUGUGCUCCUUGAGAAGGUCGCUCACUCUCUGAGCUGGUCUAUUCAUCUGAGUAAUGGGUCGCUGAGGGGCAAGGCCAAGGAGAAGGAAAGGAACUCCUCUGCAUGUCACUCUCUGACUCCUUAGUCCUUCCUCUCCUUUUUUUCUGAAAUGAGGUCCAUUUCCAAAGCUCUGCAACCUGGGGCCUGUGGAAACUUAAGAUCACUUGUGAGUUCCUAGAUACUACAUGCAGAAUUUGGCAUCUAUGAGCAUGUAGAAGUGGAUAAUUUUUGACAGUCUUCAAUAUAUUCUUGUUUAUAUAAUAUUCUUAAGUAUAUUCCUAAAAAUAAUUAAGAACCAUAAGCUGUGCUAGGGAAGUGGGCUCAUGGCCUUAUGUUAGUCUACUUGAAUAAAAAGACAGUCAAUGAGGUCAGUUUUCAGGUUUGGGUAUUUUGAUUACCUUUCCCCUUAGUUGUUUUAAAUGAGCAAAGGAGUAAUGGGGUUUUCCACCACAUAACAGAAUAUCUAUGAGUCAUCAGUGUCCUGAGAAGCUAAACGUCCUACUAAGGAUCCUGCAAAGGGAAAACAGAAGAGGAACUUGCACUUUUUGAGAACUUGCUGUGUGCCAUAAGCCUAAGUCCCUAUGUGGGAAGGAUUCUACCCACACAUGACAGAGGAGGAGACUGAAGCAUGGUAUGUUUAAAUAAAUUCUUCUGUAUUGGAAUGCUGAUCUUUCUGCCUCCAAACCCACAACUUAAAAAAAAAAAAAAAAAAAAAAAAGGUCAGGUGCAGUGGCUCAUGCCUGUAAACUCUGCACUUUGGGAGGUGGAGACAGAUGGAUCACUUGAGGUCAAGAGUUCAAGAACAGCCUGGGCAACAUGGUGAAACGCCCAUCUCUACCAAAAAAUACAAAAAAAAUUAGCCAGGCAUGAGAGAAUCGUGAGAACCCGGGAGGCAGAGGUUUCAGUGAGCCAAGAUUGUGCCACUGUGCUUCAACCUGGGCAACAGAAUGAGAGACCCUGUCUCGAAAUAAAAUAAAUAAAUAAAAUAAAAAAUAAAGUAUUUAAUUUUCUCAGAUUAUACAUUUAUUGUAAAAUAAACAGAAAUCACUCUACUAUCAUCAUAGCGUUUCCUUCCUUUCUCUAAAUAUAUUGCCACAGCAUGUAUCCUUCCAGUAUAUACAUAUAUACACAUAUAUACACACACACAGUAUGUAUACAUAUAUACAUUUCCAAAGUUGUGAUUAUAAUAUAUGUGCCAUUUUCUAUUCUCCUUUAUUUCGCUUAAUAUAACAUGAAUAUUUAACACUUAUGAACAUCUUUUACUGAUUGAUUAUGUUAUAUUCUGAACAAAAAUCUAGCAUCAUGUACUAACCCAUUCAAUUACCAUUGCAGAUGAAAGUUGUUUGCCUAAUUUUAAUAAGGCUUAUUAUUUUAACAACCCUUAUUAUGUUUAAGCAUAAAGGUGGUAGGAUUCUUUUUACAUGCUAGAGUCCUAGAAAUAGACAUAGGGAAUGGACCUUUGUAAGGAUUUUUUUUAUAUUUGUUAAAAUAGUGCAGAAAAGUUAAGUUCAUCUACCCUCUCAUUCAUAGGAGUUGGCCUGUUUCAUCUGUUUCAUGCAUGUUUGUUAGUAUUGCAGACCAGCAAAUUUGUAAAUUUCGUUAAUUUGAUUUUCUUAGAAAAAGAAAUGGCGUUUUGCUGGAGAAAGCAGCAUAGCGGAAUGUAAAGCGGUAAAGCGUGUAUGCUCUGGAGCCACAGACCUAGAUGGUGAAGUCUAGCUCUGGUACUUGACAGAUCCCAUUCUCCAUCAUCUCCACCCUGCUCUGUGACCCAGUCGGCUGCUCUGCUUGAACGACAUCAACAAGCUUCCUGCAUCCUCAUGUCUAGCUGAACUCAACCAGUGGGAAGUACCAGCAGGAGAUCAAAAGAAAGGAGCAAAGUACAGUCAAGAUGUUUAUUUAUUUCUCUGUUCUUUUCUGCCAAAGGUACACAAAAUCAGACACUAGUUAAAGGCAUUCAGGACAGAUUUUAUAUGGUAAUAACUAUCGCAAUGGAGUAGAGAGUCCAGUGUGAACUGAACUUCACCAAAACAAAAAGCUGGAGUCUUUUUAAAGGCUGGGGUAUGCUAGGGGAAAGGCACUGACAGGAAGAAGAACAGGGCUUGGUCCAUGGGCUUAGGCCAUCUGAGUCUGUUAACUGGUGUUUAUCAAAGUUGGGUUCCUGAUCCCUGCAGAGACUAGGAGACAAGGGCCCUAUCUUCAGGUGCUGGCUGGAACAAAUAGUAAAUUCUUUUGGCAGGCUUUCCCAGGCAGGAACCUAAGGGGACUGGAAUCAUAAUCCUAGGGAUGUGACCUUGAGCUGUUAGACUAUGCUAGGGUUUACAUCUCUUCGUGCAGAGGAUUGGAUGGAGUCCUUAAGGGUCAAGACAGUUCUCUUUUCAGUUCUCAUUUCCCUAACAGGUCCACUGUGGGAUGGCUGCUUCUCUUGACCCAUGGUUUCAGCUCCUGACAGGUAGCCACUCCAUGCAGCCCUUCUCUCAUUGGGUUCUGGUGACCAUCCUCUCCUCUUGCCUCUUUGGGUAUAACAGUGGAUAGUGAUACUCUUGAUAAUAAUACUAUUCCUCAUGGUUUUCCUAUACUGUGACCACACUUUUGUAAAGAGUGAUUUAAUAAAUAUGCAGUAACUGUGGUUCUCAAUGUUCUCCCAUAUCUCUUGAAGCAUUUUGGCAUGCUUUGGUUGACUUACAACUGCUGCACCUGCAUCCUGUGCCUGCAAACAUUUUCUGGAACCUUGGAAGUCUCCUUUGCCCACAACUCUAGGAGGCCAGCUGUGCUGGGAAACUAACAUCCUCCACCCAUGAGCAGAUCUCCAACAAUGGCUCUCAGGAGUUGGUGAAUGAAUACCCAGCUCCCUCAUCCUUGGGUGGUAUCAUGCUAAGGCAUGUGUUUUCAACAACUAUGCACAGAGUUUUCCUAGGUAAUAAACUCUAGUCACCCAUUCUCAGUUAUCUAUUCUUGCCUAACAAACCAACCUAAACUUAGACUGACUUAAUACAAUAAACAUUUUAUUUGCUUAUAGUUCUGUGGAUCCGCAAUUUUGGUUGGGUACAGCUGGGUGCUUCUUCUACUGAUCUCAUCUGGGAUUAGUCAUUUGGCUACAUCACUUGGGGGAUCAAGUGGCAGCAGGUUUCUCUAGAGGACCUCAGGUUCCACAUGGUGUCAUCCUCUGGGAGGCUAGUGUGGGCUUCUUCCCAGGGUCAUCUCAGAACAUUUCUAAGAGGACUAGUAAAUAAACAGCAAGACCUCUUGAGGACUAGCCCCGAUAUCACUUCCACUAUGUUCUGUUGAUCAAAGCAAAUCACAAAGCCAGACAAGAUUCAAGGGUUAGGGAAAUAGUCUUGCUCUUCAGAAUUCACAAUCAUUUUCAAUCUACCAUACACACUAGGACAGCUGCCUUUCCUCUCCCAUUAGAGGAUAGCAGUAGGAUAGUUGCCUUUCCUCCCCAAUACAGAGGAAAGCUGUACUUUCCUCUGUCACACCCCCAUUCCCCUACUAGCAACCUCUUCACCUUCCAAAUAAGAAGUUGCACUAAAAUUCUUGUCUCAACGUCUGGGUGAACCUAAACUCUCUUAAAAUUAUUUUAAUUUCAGUGAUUCAUUUGUUUAUUGCUGAUAUAGAAUGGUAUUAGAUAUUAUCAUACAAUUUAGUGCAAGGCUUGAAAAGGGCACAGGGUUUUAGGAAUCCCCAUAUAAUGUUGCCAGUAAGAGGUGAGGGUGUCUCACUGUGAUAAAUAUUACUAGUGCCCAUCCAAAUUUCUGAUGAUUUUUCCCUUCCAUUUGUGCAAGAGAAUUAUGCUUCCCACACCCCUUGAAGUUAAACAUGGCCAUAUGGUUUGCUUUGGCCAAUAAACCAUGGGUGGAUGUGGUACAGUGUACGUAUGCUUGCCUCAAGAAAGAGGGCAUAGGCCGGGUGCGGUGGCUCAUGUCUGUAAUCCCAGCACUUUGGGAGGCCAAGGUGGGUGGAUCACCUGAGGUCAGGAGUUUGAGACCAUCCUGACCAACAUGGAGAAACCCCAUCUCUACUAAAAAUACAAAAUGAGCCAGGCAUGGUGGCGAACGCCUGUAAUUCCAGCUACUUGGGAGGCUGAGGCAGGAGAGUUGCAUGAACCUGGGAGGCAGAGCUUGCAGUGAGCCGAGAUGGCGCCAUUGCACUCCAG
rnacentral:lncRNA from 1 species